UAGGUAUGUUUACAUCUGAUUUAUGAUCUCUGUUUUAUGACAGCAUCUUCUUUUUUGUGAAAUAUUUGUGAUUUUGCUGUUAAAAUAUAUUACUGUUUGAGUGAAAAAACCCAUAUAACUGUUAUUUAGUUUUUGUAUAUUGUAUGGUUCAAAGGAUUUACCUGUGACACUUGAGGAGGUAGCUUAAUGGACUUAUUUAACCAUCCAUUAUGUUGCUUGUGAUGAACAGUUCCCAUGUUAGGCAGGAUGAGCCUCAUUGUGUUACUCAUUGUGUUACACAGUGUUUUGUACAAAUAGUGAUAUAUUUUAUGAGAUAUAGUAUAAGUUCAUAAUAAUUCUAAGAUUUCCUGAGAUAUAAAAGCAAGAUGGUGUACUUGUUGAUUUGUUUCAGGGGCUUUUAUUUUUAAGAACUUAAGAUAUGAUCCUUGUACAGUUUCUUUUUCUUAGGGGGGAAAUUUCUUGCUUAAAGAAAUGUUCUUGAUGCCUUUUUUUAAGUUUGUGUGCGCACGCUCACAUGUAUCUGUAAACUUCCUAGUGUUAUGCAAUUUUUUUUCUUUGAAGUGUGUUAUGAACUUAUGAUUUGAAGUUGGUGUAUCUUUUGUGCACAGUGCUGAG
rnacentral:misc_RNA from 1 species